rnacentral:rRNA from 1 species
UGCCAGCCGCCGCGGUAAUACGGGGGGGGCAAGCGUUGUUCGGAAUUACUGGGCGUAAAGGGCUCGUAGGCGGCCUGCUAAGUCGGAUGUGAAAUCCCUCGGCUCAACCGGGGAACUGCAUCCGAUACUGGCGGGCUUGAAUCCGGGAGAGGGAUGUGGAAUUCCAGGUGUAGCGGUGAAAUGCGUAGAUAUCUGGAGGAACACCGGUGGCGAAGGCGGCAUCCUGGACCGGUAUUGACGCUGAGGCGCGAAAGCUAGGGGAGCAAACGGGAUUAGAUA